rnacentral:rRNA from 1 species
AACGAACGCUGGCGGCAGGCUUAACACAUGCAAGUCGAGCGCUGUAGCAAUACAGAGCGGCGCACGGGAGAGUAAUACGUGGGAACCUACCCUUUGGUUCGGAAUAACGUCGGGAAACUGACGCUAAUACCCGGAUAAGCCCUUCGGGGGAAAGAUUUAUCGCCGAAGGAUGGGCCCAUGUUGGAUUAGCUAGUUGGUGAGGUAACGGCUCACCAAGGCUACGAUCCAUAGCUGGUCUGAGAGGAUGAUCAGCCUCACUGGGACUGAGAC